GAUCGGGUGUAACGGGGGCUCAAUAGCAAUGGUAAAUUCUCCACUAAGUCUAUGUACAAAUGGCUGGAAAAUCCUCUUAGUGGUUGUCACUGCAUAUGGAUCUGGAAGGCCAAAAUCCUCCUCGAAAUCAAAAUUUUCUUAUGGCAGCUGUCUCAGGAUGCUGUUCUGACUAGGCAGGUCAUGAAGGAGAGGAAAUGGCCUGGGAACCCCAAGUGCUCUUUUUGCAAUAACCUGGAAUCCUCUCAACACUUGUUUUUCACCUCUCCUGUGGCUAGAGUUGUUUGGCGAUGUGUUGGGAUGGUACUGGGUACUGAUAUGUGCCCGAGCAGUUACUGGCAAUAUUUUUCCUAG
rnacentral:rRNA from 1 species